rnacentral:rRNA from 1 species
GAUGAACGCUGGCGGCGUGCCUAAUACAUGCAAGUCGAGCGAACAGAUGAGGAGCUUGCUCCUCUGACGUUAGCGGCGGACGGGUGAGUAACACGUGGAUAACCUACCUAUAAGACUGGGAUAACUUCGGGAAACCGGAGCUAACACCGGAUAAUAUAUUGAACCGCAUGGUUCAAUAGUGAAAGACGGUUUUGCUGUCACGUAUAGAUGGAUCCGCGCCGCAUUGGCUAGUUGGGAAGGUAACGGGUUACCAAGGCGACGAUGCGUAGCCGACGUGAGAGGGUGAUCGGCCACACUGGAACUGAGACACGGUCCAGGCUCCUACGGGAGGCAGCAGUAGGGAAUCGUCCGCAAUGGGCGAAAGCCUGACGGAGCAACGCCGCGUGAGUGAUGAAGGUCUUCGGAUCGUAAAACUCUGUUAUUAGGGAAGAACAAAUGUGUAAGUAACUAUGCACGUCUUGACGGUAACUAAUCAGAAAGCCACGGCUAACUACGUG